rnacentral:rRNA from 1 species
UACGGGGGGGGCAAGCGUUGUUCGGAAUUACUGGGCGUAAAGGGCUCGUAGGCGGCCAACUAAGUCAUACGUGAAAUCCCCCGGCUUAACCGGGGAACUGCGUCUGAUACUGGAUGGCUUGAGUUCGGGAGAGGGAUGCGGAAUUCCAGGUGUAGCGGUGAAAUGCGUAGAUAUCGGAAGGAACACCGAUGGCGAAAGCAGCGUGCUGGACCUUUUCUGACGCUGAGGCGCGAAAGCCAGGGGAGCAAACGGG